GCCCCGGUGGCUAAGCCCGGUUAUAGCGGCGGCCUUGUAUGCGUAGACACAAGAAAGCCGCAGGUCGCGGGUUCGAAUCCCGCCCGGGGCUCCA
rnacentral:tRNA from 1 species